GAUGAACGCUAGCGAUAGGCUUAACACAUGCAAGUCGAGGGGCAGCAUGGUCUUAGCUUGCUAAGACUGAUGGCGACCGGCGCACGGGUGCGUAACGCGUAUGCAACUUGCCUCACAGAGGGGGAUAACCCGUCGAAAGACGGACUAAUACCGCGUACACUCCAUCUUGGGCAUCCAAGGUAGAGGAAAUGAAAUUCGCUGUGAGAUAGGCAUGCGUCCCAUUAGCUAGUUGGUGAGGUAACGGCUCACCAAGGCGACGAUGGGUAGGGGAACUGAGAGGUGGAACCCCCACACUGGUACUGAGGCACGGACCAGACUACUACGGGAGGCAGCAGUGAGGAAUAUUGGUCAAUGGGCGAGAGCCUGAACCAGCCAAGUCGCGUGAAGGAUGACUGUCUUAUGGAUUGUAAACUUCUUUUAGACGGGAAUAACAAGAGCCACGUGUGACUCCCUGCAUGUACCGUAUGAAUAAGCAUCGGCUAACUCCGUG
rnacentral:rRNA from 1 species